rnacentral:rRNA from 1 species
AUUGAACGCUGGCGGCAUGCCUUACACAUGCAAGUCGAACGGCAGCACGGGAGCAAUCCUGGUGGCGAGUGGCGAACGGGUGAGUAAUACAUCGGAACGUGCCCAAUCGUGGGGGAUAACGCAGCGAAAGCUGUGCUAAUACCGCAUACGAUCUACGGAUGAAAGCAGGGGACCGCAAGGCCUUGCGCGAAUGGAGCGGCCGAUGGCAGAUUAGGUAGUUGGUGGGGUAAAGGCUCACCAAGCCAACGAUCUGUAGCUGGUCUGAGAGGACGACCAGCCACACUGGGACUGAGACACGGCCCAGACUCCUACGGGAGGCAGCAGUGGGGAAUUUUGGACAAUGGGCGCAAGCCUGAUCCAGCCAUGCCGCGUGCAGGAUGAAGGCCUUCGGGUUGUAAACUGCUUUUGUACGGAACGAAACGGCCUUUUCUAAUAAAGAGGGCUAAUGACGGUACCGUAAGAAUAAGCACCGGCUAACUACGU